rnacentral:rRNA from 1 species
UACCUAAACAAAUUUAAAAAGUUAAGCUUUUAAAUAACUAUUAAAGAUAUUAUCCCCUUGUAGUGUAGUUUAAUAGCUAUCUACAUAUUAACUUAAUAUAAAGUAUAAUAGUUUAUAUUUUAUAAUAUGACGUUAACAAUUUUGUUUAAUAUUUGAAAAUGUUAGUAUUAGUAAUAUUAGUAUAUGUGCUAAAGGAACUCGGCAAAAAAACCACUCAACUGUUUAUCAAAAACAUAGCUAUAUGAAUUAAUAUAUAGUUAUUUCUGCUCAAUGAUUUAAAUAGCCGCAGUACUCUGACUGUGCAAAGGUAGCAUAAUCAGUUGGCUUUUAAUUAGAGUCUGGUAUGAACGAAAAUAUGGGUAGUAACUGUCUUAGCACAUUUUUUCGAACUUAUUAAACAAGUGCAAAUGCUUGUAAUUUAACAAUAGACGAGAAGACCCUAGAAACUUGGACAAGUUUUUGUUGGGGCGACAGAAUUACACUUAACUAAUCUUAUAAUACACGACGCGAUGUUGAAAGAAUAAGUUACUCUAGGGAUAACAGCAUAAUUUCAUUAGUUUGUGACCUCGAUGUUGGACUAGGUACUAUACCCUUAAGGCAAGGAUAUAUUAUGCUCUGUUCGAGCAAAAUUACCUACAUGAUCUGAGU